UACGGAGGGUGCAAGCGUUAAUCGGAAUCACUGUGCGUAAAGCGCACGUAGGCGGCUUGGUAAGUCAGGGGUGAAAUCCCACAGCCCAACUGUGGAACUGCCUUUGAUACUGCCAGGCUUGAGUACCGGAGAGGGUGGCGGAAUUCCAGGUGUAGGAGUGAAAUCCGUAGAUAUCUGGAGGAACACCGGUGGCGAAGGCGGCCACCUGGACGGUAACUGACGCUGAGGUGCGAAAGCGUGGGGAGCAAACAGG
rnacentral:rRNA from 1 species